UACGUAGGGCGCAAGCGUUAUCCGGAAUUAUUGGGCGUAAAGAGCUCGUAGGCGGUUUGUCGCGUCUGCCGUGAAAGUCCGGGGCUCAACUCCGGAUCUGCGGUGGGUACGGGCAGACUAGAGUGAUGUAGGGGAGACUGGAAUUCCUGGUGUAGCGGUGAAAUGCGCAGAUAUCAGGAGGAACACCGGUGGCGAAGGCGGGUCUCUGGGCCGAUACUGACGCUGAGGCGCGAAAGCUAGGGGAGCGAACGGG
rnacentral:rRNA from 1 species